GCACGUGCGCAUCAUACCGCGCCACACGGCCGAAAUGAGAAAGACGUGGUCCUGACCGUCACUGUCUAGAGGAUAACUAGCCAGUUUAUAAAACAUGUCGGAGAAUAGCGCGGACACGCUUCAAACCACGAGCGUGCACGCGCACCACACGGCUGAAAUGAGAUAAGACGUGGUCCGUCAUGUCUGGAGGAUAGCCAGUUGAUAAAACGCGUGUCCGUGAGAACUGGACUCAUAUAAUUGUGCUUGUGGCACUAAUUUGAUCUCCUCAAAUUCAUACACAUUACUGAAGACAGUCAGAGAUGAUCAGCACUGCAGUUAAUGACGUCACCCAGGCCAACACACACACUUCCUUCUCCAUUACGUCACCAGCCUAGAGACAACAUAACUCACACAAGCUGUCACGAUGAAGGGUGGAGUCAAAUUAAAAUGAUUCAAUGUCUACUACAUCAUACAUAAAAUUCAAAGGACUGCAGAGGUACACUCGAUACUUGAAUCCUUUCACGGACAGCAGCUUGAAAAGACCGAUUACUCCUGUCACAGUGUGACCUCCUAUCUGUCUCUCCAUAUAACAGCUCGACUGACCCUGGCUCAAACUCAAAACCAAAGAAGAAAAAGAGCCGAGACAUUCAUGAAGACAAACAGGUUGACGAAUGAAGAAGGAUAGAAAUAAGCGAGUUAAACAGGUUAAAGUGGUCAAGCUUGAAGCAGUGUUACGAAACCAAAUACAAAAACACACAAUCUGUAUAUGAGAAAUGUGCCAUAGAAGUCUAAGCACCAUGUGUUUUUAAAACAUAUUUUUUUUGAAGUGCUGUGCAAAUACAAUGGUAUAAAUAAAUAUGGCAGUGAUGUCCAUGAUGUUA